UCAAUACCUGGUCCUGAGGCAGCCAAGGAAUCACUUGUCUGGUUUUGCUGCUUUUCUGGCCCCGGAGCUGAAA